rnacentral:tRNA from 1 species
GUUAGAGUGGUUUAAGAGCAUGGACUCUGGACUUAGAAAGGCCUGGGUUCAAAUCCCAGCUCUGGCA